UAGAUAGAUUAUUGUAUUCGACUGUAUUUACGGCAUGAAAUAAGGGAUUACACUGUUUUUAAAUGGAAAAUGUAUCAAUUAACAUAAUAAACUCCU
rfam:Nicotiana sylvestris Nsyl_contig25378, whole genome shotgun sequence.